rnacentral:rRNA from 1 species
CAAGGGAGCAACUGAGUGGCGAACGGGUGAGUAACACGUGGGUGACCUACCUUCGAGUGGGGGAUAACGUCCCGAAAGGGACGCUAAUACCGCAUAACAUCCUGUCCUUGAACGGAUGGGGAUCAAAGCCGGGGAUCGCAAGACCUGGCGUUUGAAGAGGGGCCCGCGUCUGAUUAGCUAGUUGGUGGGGUAACGGCUCACCAAGGCGACGAUCAGUAUCCGGCCUGAGAGGGCGGACGGACACACUGGGACUGAGACACGGCCCAGACUCCUACGGGAGGCAGCAGUGGGGAAUUGUUCGCAAUGGGCGCAAGCCUGACGACGCAACGCCGCGUGGAGGAUGAAGGUCUUCGGGUUGUAAACUCCUGUUGCCCGGGACGAAAAGCUUCAACCUAAUACGUUGAAGUCUGACGGUACCGGGUGAGGAAGCCCCGGCUAACUCUGUGCCAGCAGCCGCGGUAAUACAGAGGGGGCAAGCGUUG